rnacentral:tRNA from 1 species
GGAGUUGUGGCUCAGUGGUAGAGUACUUGCCCCACAUGCAUGAGGCCCUGGGUUCGAUCCUCAGCACCA